rnacentral:lncRNA from 1 species
CUUAGGUGCUCUCCUUCCCCAUAUAUCUCCAAAAAAGAUAAUGAAAUUAAAAGAAAAAGAAGUGAAAAGAAAAAAAAUCAAUCUAUAUGGAAAAUGGUCUUACCUAUUAAUUUUUCCAUCUUUCCUUGAUUUUUCCUUUGUUUCCCCUUAGGUUUUGCACUGUUUUUCCCAUCCUGAUGAGCCUAAAUCUAGUGGGAGGUUUGGAGCAGCCGGCAAUGGAAGCUUAGAUGAUGGGGCUUGGAGUGGCUGACUAGGGAAGCUUAGAUGAUGGCUUGGUUUUUAUAUUGGGUGCUGAUAUAUA